GCUCUGUAUUAUCUACAAUGACGGGUAUAGCAUGAGACUCUUAAUCUCAGGAUCGUGGAUUCGAGCCCCACAUUGGGCU